AUUAGAGGGAUUCCCUGCUCUGUUGUGUUCAUUUAUGUACAGAGACAUUUCCCCGAACAUAGAAGAACGCAACAGAGCAGGUAAUUCCUUAAC